CCCCUCUCAGGCUUCUCUCUAUUCAUAGUAUUUGUCGUUUAUGCGAAUGUUUUGCCGCCAAAUCUUACCACAUAAUAUCGAUCGAAAAAUCGAAAAUACGUGAAAAUUAUUUUAUUUUGCACGAAGAUUUUUAAUUUUCUGGUCUAGUUGUUAAUGAUAUAUCAAGAUAAUACGUGUUUUCAAAAUGACAUCGAUUGAAGUAAGAAAUUGGACAACAGAGUAUUAUGUCACAAAUCAGUUAUCCUGUCAGCAAAUUUUAGAAAAUCCGGAUGUAUUGAGAGAAAUACCUUUAUUAAACAAUGUCCAACUACAUAAUAUCGCAGAUAAACAGUUGGUUAGAUUUCGAGGGAUGGUCCAGGAUAUGUAUGACCCUGAAUAUUUCUUUAAACAAUAUGAGGUGAAGAAUACAAAGACUGGGGAGAGUGAUAUUAGAUGUGGAAUGUACGCAGACGCAGCUCGAUGUUUGUCACAUGAAGAAAUAUCUUUUGAUUCUAACAAGAAUGAACACUCGGAAAGACAAACUUACAUUGUAAUGUCUAUACCUGGCUUAAAUAAAUGGGCGAAAGAACAGAGCAAAUAUAUAGAAGCAAAUGUACAGAAAUUUAAUUCAACGAUACGCAAUGACAAUAUGAGUAAAAGAAGUCUGGAUGAUACUGAUUUAGAAAAAAUGGAUUGCUCAGGACCUGUUACAAAGAAAGAAAAGAUUUUGACAGAUAAUAGUGAUAUAAACAUGAGCAGUGGUCAUUCCAAAGAUCAGAAUAUAUUAUCAGAAGAGCACAUAUUAAAUUUUCCUAUCCCGAUGGAUGAAGGAAAAACUUGCAUAGUAAAGAUUUAUGAUGGGACAACUUUAAAACUGAAUCAGGUUAUUGAUAUAAUAGGUUUUAUAUCAUUGGAUCCAACAUUAAAUACAAAUAAUUGUUUGGAGGAUGAGAUGAAUGAAGCUGAAGUCUAUACUCAUAAUCCCCCGGCUUCUUUGGUACCUCGGUUACAUGCAAUAAAGCUGAUUGAGCUCACAAAAUCUGAAAUUAUAAAUGCUCCAGAAAUCAUAUCAAAAGCGCAACUCAUCAGGGGUGAUUUACAUAUAAUAUUGAGUCAAUUAUUAUUUGGAGAUCAUUUAGCUGCAGAUUAUUUAAUAUGCCACUUGCUCUCUACAAUAUAUAUGAGAAGAGAUUAUUUUUGUCUUGGUGCAUUUCCACUGAAUAUAACGAAUUUUCCAGCCAGUAGACUCAAGACAUUUCCAAAAGAAUUUUAUAACUUUUUAACAUUACUUGUAAAGAAAAGUCACUUUUUGGAGGUGACUUUGGAAAAUUUGAAUGAAUUAGCUUUAAUUCCAAAAAAAGAUUAUGAAUGCAACAGAUUGACAAGUGGUAUUCUUCAAUUAAGCAAUAAUACACAUCUUGUGUUAGAUGAGACAGGUUUAACCACUGGUGAACUAAGUAUCACUGGCAAGCAGAACUAUAAAACUCUUUCCGAUCUACUUAUGUUUCAAAAACUGACAUAUGAUUUCAAAUAUUAUACAAUGGAAUACGAAACAGACAUCCCAAUUUUGAUUUUUUCUGAUGUAAAAUCGUUUAUUCCUUGUCCUGUGCAAGUUAUUCUAAAUGUUGAUGCAGAAUCAGAAAAUGUAUAUAGUCAGGUAAUUGAAGCUGCACAUCAGUAUUUAAACAAUGAGACUCGAUUGGCAAAUAUUCGUCAAUACUUGGAAGUCUUUAGACAUACAGAUUUUGUUUUUAACGAAGAAAUUACGAAAAUCAUCCAAGACGAUUUUGUCGAGAUGCGAAGCGUGAAUAAGAAUAUAAGUGCAGAUAAUUUGCACUCAUUAAUGGUUUUUGCUAGAUUGAUGUCCUUAUCUUAUGGACAAACGGCACUAAAUAUAGAAUGCUGGAAGAAAACUGUACAAUUGGAAAUGGAGAGAAUGAGCAGGUUGCCGCAGUGUAGAAGAUAAUAAACUCUAGGAGGAAGCAGUUAUAUUGAUAUAAUUCCAACUGGAUCAUACAACCUAGAAUUGUUAUCCCUCCGAGAACUCCGAGAGAUCAUCAAAACUGUAUCCAUGUGGCUUAUUUCCGAAGACUCCGUCGAACAAUAUGCCAAAGAUGAUCAACUAUUAGAAGCGAUCAACUACCACUUGAUUUACUGGAAGCUGAGAAGAUCGAUCGACAAUUCGAUGUGUCGAUUUCGACGGCGUUCGUGCAACGUGCAACUCGCUGCACGUGGCCGCAUGUGGCGUCAGUGAAACAAGACUGCACAUAGCCGGCCCGAAGACACAUAAUCCGAGCUAUGUCCUACUAAAGGUAGAGGAUCCCCUCCAGUUCCACGUGCGGAGUUCGCGCGGACCUCUCUUAAGAGGUUCGUCAUAGGAACGUGUUAGCGCAUCCGUAUUGUUUAAUCGUGCGGAAUGGUUCAGGCUUCGAUAACCGCGACUCAGAUUCACGUUACCGGUUGUUAGUCCUUUAUUGUCGUCUGUGUCGACUCGAUAUAAUAGUUUAGAAUAAUGCUGCACUGUAUUUAUGAGAAUAUUAUUUUUGUAUGUUAUUUGUAUAUUUAACGUGGUAGUUUAGCAAUGGAUACGUUUUUUGAACACUAAUUGUAAUAUAGUGAGCAAAUUAAAAACUCGUUAGUUGGCAUUAAUUGUCAAGUCCUCAUUGUCGGUGUAGUGGCUCAUGGUCAUAAAAUUUCUCAAGCUCUCUAUGGUA